UUGAAGUCGCCCAAACAAUAAAAUGCAAAAUGGCUCCAUAGCGCCCCCUAAGGUGGAAAUUCACACUAUUGACUGUCACGUCUGUACGUUUUGUCAUAUUGACACAAAAAUUGACACACAUAUGUAUCUCAAUAAGAUCUACAAAAAAGUCAGUGCGGGCGUAUCUGUCAAAUGUACGGUUAAAGGGUUAUUUCGCAUUUUUUGCCGAUCCGCACACAUUGGAAUUUCGCUAACUCCUCCGAAGGCUUUCGUUCCACCGGCACCACAUUUGCUCAGGCCAGUCUACACCCCAUGGCCAUUAAAAGUUGUACAAAUCAUGACGCUGCACCCCACGGUUUAGGUUCUAGGGGGCGCCAAAGAUAACCCAAAAAUCCACAUUCUUUAAAGUCUUAUAACUUUUUAUUUUUGUCCUCACUGCCCUCCAAGUUUUCUAGGAUGAUGCAAUGUCCAGCCAUCAACACAUUUGUGAAGGAAUUUUUACUCCCCAAAAGAGCGCCCCCCCAUGGCAGGAGAAAAAAGUCAAUUUUUUCUUGUCCCCUUACAUGAAAAUACACAUUGUUGAGUGUCACGCCUGAACGCUUUGUCAUAUUGACACAAAAAUUGACACACACAUGUAUCUCAAUAAAAUCUACGAAAAAGUCAAAGAGCGCGUAUCUGUAUAAUGUACGGUUAAAGGGCUAUUUCGCAUUUUUUGCCGAUUCGCACACAUUGGAAUGUGGCUAUCUCCUCCUAAGGCUUUCGUCCCACUGAUACCAAAUUUGCUCAGGGCAAUCUACACCCCAUGCCCAUUCAAAGUUGUAAAAAUCAUGACGCUGCACCCCACGGUUUACGUUCUAGGGGGCGCCAAAGAUGACCCAAAAAUCCACAUUCUUAAAAGUCAUUUUGGCCACUGCAGGAGUACAGAGUACUGCAGUUCUAGGGGGCGCCAAAGAUGACCCAAAAAUCCACAUUCUUAAAAGUCUUUUUGGCCACUGCAGGAGUACAGAGUACUGCAGGAUACACACACAUAUACACACACGCCAACACACACACACACACACACACACACACACACACACACACACACACACACACUCAGAGUCUGGUUUUUAGCACCUGCAAAAACAUGCUGUUUACAUAUUUGACAAGAAUGCAGAGGCUUCCUUUUGCCCCUGACAAAAAUCAAAUUUCAAACACAACUUGACUGUUCAUUUCUCCAAAAGACAACCAUGAAGCUCCAUCCAAACCUGAAGCAGAUAGUUGGUGCAUGUGUACAGUAACCUGAGGGGAGUGAGGUGACUAUUUCUGAGGAGAACAUGAGCAGUGAAGAUUCACCUUGGAGCUAGAACAGGGACGUGCACAUGAUUAUACAGGGGCAGGGGCUCAAGUUUUUUCCAGUCAUUUAUACAAUAUGGAAAUUAAUGUGAAAUUAAAAAACAAAGUAUUAAUAGAAAGGUUAUGACUGUCCUGUGUAGAUGACAGUGAUAUCCAAUAGGCUAGGCACUCACGAGGCUGGCUGUGGCAAGUGUAAGUGAAAGCAACACGCACUGGCAGGAAGAACAGCAAACGCCGAUGAAGGAAAGGGUCUUUGCAGUGAUGGGCGUUACCAGAGAGGACGAUGGCCAGAGGACGCGAAUGGGACGGGGAGGCAGCGCGUUGGGGGGGGCAGCGCGACACGGCUCGGGCCCGCCAGUGCCCCAACGGGGCCCUAGUUAGGGCCCGAGCGUAGCUGCUAAGCAGCUGCGAGAGCCCUCUUGUUCCUGUAGUUUCCUUCUUUAGGGCCCGAGCGUAGCUGCUAAGCAGCUGCGAGAGCCCUCUUGUUCCUGUAGUUUCCUUCUUUUGUUAUUAUUAUUAUUUUUCCUCCCCUUUGAACUGGAAAAUGGCCCACUUCCCACUGGCGAAAACUCAUGAAAUUUGGCAGGACGACCGGGCCUGGUGAAAAAUUUGAUAUUCCGAAGUCGCCCAAACAAGAAAAUGCAAAAUGGCUCCAUAGCGCCCCCUAAGGUGAAAAUUCACACUAUUGACUGUCACGCCUGUACGCUUUGUCAAAAUGACACAAAAAUUGACACACACAUGUAUCUCAAUAAGAUCUACAAAAAAGUCAGUGCGGGCGUAUCUGUCAAAUGUACGGUUAAAGGGUUAUUUCGCAUUUUUUGCCGAUCCGCACACAUUGGAAUUUCGCUAACUCCUCCGAAGGCUUUCGUUCCACCGGCACCACAUUUGCUCAGGCCAAUCUACACCCCAUGGCCAUUAAAAGUUAUUCAAAUCAUGACGCUGCACCCCACGGUUUAGGUUCUAGGGGGCGCCAAAGAUAACCCUAAGAUCCACAUAUUUAAAAGUCUAAUAACUUUUUAUUUUUGCCGUCACUGGCCUCCAAGUUUUCUAGGAUGAUGCAAUGUCCAGCCAUCAACACAUUUGUGAAGGAAUUUUUACUCCCCAAAAGAGCGCCCCCCCAUGGCAGGAGAAAAAAGUCCAUUUUUUCUUGUCCCCUAAGGUGAAAAUACACAUUGUUGAGUGUAACACCUGUACGCUUUGGCAAAAUGACACAAAAAUUGACACACACAUGUAUCUCAAUAAGAUCUACGAAAAAGUCAAUGCGCGCGUAUCUGUCAAAUGUACGGUUAAAGGGUUAUUCCGCAUUUUUUGCCGAUCCGCACACAUUGGAAUUUCGCUAACUCCUCCGAAG
rnacentral:lncRNA from 1 species